rnacentral:rRNA from 1 species
AACGAACGCUGGCGGCAUGCCUAACACAUGCAAGUCGAACGAGACCUUCGGGUCUAGUGGCGCACGGGUGCGUAACGCGUGGGAACCUGCCCUUAGGUUCGGAAUAACUCCCCGAAAGGGGUGCUAAUACCGGAUAAUGUCUUCGGACCAAAGAUUUAUCGCCUUUGGAUGGGCCCGCGUUGGAUUAGCUAGUUGGUAGGGUAAAAGCCUACCAAGGCGACGAUCCAUAGCUGGUCUGAGAGGAUGAUCAGCCACACUGGGACUGAGACACGGCCCAGACCCCGCCGGGAGGCAGCAGGGGGGAAUAUGGGAAAAUGGGCGAAAGCCUGAUCCAGCAAGGCCGGGGGGGUGAUGAAGGCCUUAGGGUUGUAAAGCUCUUUUACCCGGGAUGAUAAUGACAGGACCGGGAAAAUAAGCCCCGGCUAACUCCGU